rnacentral:rRNA from 1 species
GACGAACGCUGGCGGCGUGCUUAACACAUGCAAGUCGAACGGAAAGGCCCGGCUUUUGGGGGCUGCUCGAGGGGAGGAGGGGGGAGUAACACGUGAGUAAGCUGUCACUGACUGUGGGAUAACUUCAGGAAGCUGGGGCUAUUACGGCAUAGGAGCUCUUGCCGUAAGGUGGGGGUGGGAAAGUUUCGGCGGUUGGGGGUGGACUCGCGGCUUAUGAGCUUGAUGGUGGGGUAGUGGCUUAGCAAGGCUUUGACGGGUAGCCGGGCUGGGAGGGUGACCGGCCACAUUGGGACUGAGCUACGACCCAGCCUCCUACGGGAGGCAGGAGUGGAGAAUAUUGCACUGUGGGCUGAAGCCUAAUGCAGCACCGCAGCGUCCGGUAUGACGGCCUUCGCUUUGUGAACCGCUUUCGCCUGUCACGAGGCGUUAGUGACGGUAACGGGUGAAGAAGCACCGGCUAACUCCGUG